rnacentral:rRNA from 1 species
UACGGAGGAUCCAAGCGUUAUCCGGAAUCAUUGGGUUUAAAGGGUCCGUAGGCGGUUUUGUAAGUCAGUGGUGAAAGCCCAUCGCUCAACGGUGGAACGGCCAUUGAUACUGCAAGACUUGAAUUAUUGGGAAGUAACUAGAAUAUGUAGUGUAGCGGUGAAAUGCUUAGAUAUUACAUGGAAAUACCAAUUGCGAAGGCAGGUUACUACCAAUAUAU